rnacentral:lncRNA from 1 species
CAGAUGAUGCAGUUAAGAAAGACUCUGAACUCCAAGCUUGGUGGAAGGAAGUUGUUGAGAAGGGUCAUGGUGACCUGAAAGACAAGCCUUGGUGGCCUAAAAUGCAGACUCUUCAAGAGCUUAUUCAAUCAUGUUCUACUAUCAUAUGGAUUGCUUCAGCUCUCCAUGCAGCUGUUAAUUUUGGGCAAUACCCUUAUGGUGGUUUUAUCCUAAACCGUCCAACUCUUAGCAGAAGAUUGAUCCCGGAAAAAGGAACUCCAGAAUAUGAUGAGAUGGUGAAAAGUCAUCAAAAGGCUUAUUAGAAAACAAUUACGCCAAAGUUUCAGACUCUUGUUAACCUUUCAGUGAUAGAGAUAUUGUCAAGGCAUGCUUCUGAUGAGAUCUACCUUGGACAGAGGGACAACAGUCCUAAUUGGACCUCUAAUUCAAGGGCAAUAGAAGCCUUUAAAAAGUUUGGAAAAAAGCUAGCAGAGAUUGAGACAAAAAUCUCAGAAAGGAACAAUGAUCCAAAUCUUAGAAAUCGAACUGGACCAGCCAAAUUGCCCUACACUGUGCUUCUUCCUACCAGUAAACCGGGGUUGACUUUUAGAGGAAUUCCUAACAGUAUCUCUAUCUAAAGGAGUGUUUCAAUAACUGAUGCAUACUUAUGUGUGUAUCAUUGUAUGAGCUUCAUUAAGUAAUGUUAUUUAUUUGUUGGGAUAAGUGUGUGCGCAAAACUGAAUGUAUCUAAUUAAGUCAUUUAUAAUUUUAAUUUUAAUUUUUAUUUGUUAUAAGAUUAUUAUAAAUAAAACAUCAAUAAAUAUAUGUGAUGGUUUUUAUUAAUUUCUCUUUUUUAUUUCUUUUUCUUUUCAUUAUAUACACCCCAAAAAGGAGUGUAAUUUACUUUAAUUUUUCCAUUGUUCUAUAUAUUGCUCAUUGUAAUCUUUGCGCUGCCAUGUUGUCUUUAAUUAGCAAAUUCGGCAAAGGGAUACGUACCCAAAGGUCAAUGACAGGGAUGCCUCCUCGAGCGUUUGAACACAUUUGUCUUUAGUUAAUAAUAUAAAUUUUUAUAUUCAAAUUAAUAUAAAAAAUUAAACUCUUUUGAAAUGCUAAUAACUAAAUAAAAAUAUACUAUUAAAAAAUUAUGAAAUACCUUAAAAGAAUUGGUAGAUGUCUAGUGGUCACUGAUCAGCAUCUAGAUUGAAAGUAUGAGAUGGAAUACCGAGAAAUGAAAUGAUAUUUUAUUAUUUUGCAUUAAAUAAAAUAACAACAUAAUAGAACAACUUUUGGAUUUGCUUGAAUAUUUUUUUUUUAUAAAUAAUUAUAUGAAAAGAAAAUAAAACAAGAUAAAAUAAAUUGAACUUUUUCCCUAGGCUAAAAUCAAUAUAUUCACUUCGAUUGAAAAGAUUUCCAUAUAUCUGAGUUGUCUAAAAGUUAAGAUAUAUAAAAUGAUUUAAACUUAUGAAAAAACUCAGCAGACAUCUGAUUUUUUUACUUUCUUCUUCUAUUAGUGUUUUAUGAAUAAAUUAAAUUUAUCUAAACAAACCUUUUGAUGUGAAAUUAAAGUUAUCAUACUUUUGUAAUUCCAGACCAGGUAAAUUUUUUGUUAGGUGAAAAAAUACAACAUUCUGAACCGGGUAAAUAAGCAUUCAAUUGAAAAGUUAACUUGGUGAACAACUUCUAUUCACACUCUGAGAGAUAGAACAUAACACCAUUCAAAAUUGUGCAUAACACCGUUCAAAAUUGUGCUUACAAUGCCUCUUGGAUUUUAACUAACGGAAACUUUUGCUUCUUACACGAACCAGCUGAUAAGGUCGAUCGCAUCUAAGAUCGAUGCACCACUCAUUUUUGCUUAUAUGAGCUGAUUAUUAUUCAUCAUUUCCCCUAGUUAUAUUUUUUAAUGCAUUUACUGCAUUAGUGUUGCUUUGCUAAUAAUUUUUUUUUAUAAUUGCAGUGUAUUAAAAUUAAACAACUAUUUUAGUUUUUCAUAAGUUGUACUCAGCCUAGUGCGAGGAACACGUGCAUCCUUAGCUUUGAACCUGGAAAUGAAAGACGUAUAAAACAAAGUUUUAUUUAAAGAAUUUUGUUAAAUGCUGACCUAGUAAUAUUAAAUAAAAUAUAUUUAAUUACCUCUUAAAAUAUUACAUGUUUCAUAGUUAUUUUAAAGAGCAUUAAAGAUUUUAUGUUUUAAACGAAUUAAUUACUAUUUUAAACUUUGAACUUUAUUUAAAUUUUUAUUCGAUUCUUUAACUAUUUUCUUCAGUUUAAUUAUUUAACUUAUAUUUUUAUAUGAAAUUUAUCUUUUCAUUAACUUUUAUUAUAACUGAGUUCUUUCAUAUAGAAAACUAGAUUAUUUCACCUCCAUCUUUCUCUUUCUCUUUCUCUUCUCUCUCCGAGCACCGCCAACAAGCUUUUGUUCAUAAUUCUCUCACUGUCUUCAUAAUCAUAUAGGCUCUAAUUAACUUCUUUUAUUUUAUUAAGACUCUCUCUCUCCUAUAUUCCUAAUAUAAUCACCGUCUAAACAUUCAUGCUUUCUGCUAGAAAGACCCACACCAAUAACCUUUACCAGUUAUACUUCUCCAAAUCAAAAUUAAGUGUUUAUUUAGAUUGGUGAUGAUUUGAAUUUACCAAGAUUUUUGGAAGCAAAUAAUAGUUAUUUUGGUGGUGAAUUCAUCUUGAUUUUGUGUGUUUGGUCCCUAUAUUAAAAUUAAAAAUGUGAAUGCAUUACACAUAUAAGAACCAAUUAUAAAAAAUACACUAAGGGGGCAAAUUAAAGAAUACAUGUAUAGGAAUCAAAUUAAAAUGUAAGAGUAUUAGAGACGACCUCAUAACAAUAGGAACCAAACAUUUACACUCACGAUUCCUUGGUAGAAAAAAAGAAGAAGAAAUACAUGGAUAAUAUGAUGGAAAAAAAAAAGAUAAAUGAAAAUAGAUGAUAGAUGAAAUAAAAAUAAACAUAUUUGAUUUAGCAGGAUUAAAAAAUAGAUAAAUAGUUAAAUAAAAUAAGAAAAAAAAACCUUAUGGUGUCAUUUUUUUCUUUCUCAUUUUUCUCAGACACUCAUUUUUGCUUAUUUCUUUCUUCUCCAUUUUAUUGCUCCUUUAAUUUACCAUAAAAAAGGUUACAGUGACGGGCUUAAUAACUUUUUACCAUAGGUAUAGAAAUUAAAUCAAUAACUUUUUCCCACCUGAUUUAGCUUACAUGUAGGAUAUUUUUUUAUUUAGAAGAUGAAAAUCAAUAUCAUCUCAAAGAUAAAAUAAUUAAAACUUAUACUUCAAGCUUAUUUAAAAGAAUAUUUACUAUCAAUCUUUAUAAAAUAAAGAGAGCCUUAUCUGUUCUGUUAAUAAAAAACCAACACAUGUUAGUAAAAAAUCUAACACGUUUAAAGUAAAAGAAAUCAUAUUUACUUUAAAUCUCAUAUAAUUGGGCUGACCCUGAUAAAAAUAGAAUAUUUUUAAAAAUUACAAUAAAAUAUAAAAUAUAUAAGUCCCGCAGAAAAGUAUAAAAUUUGCUCCAAUUUCUCACCUUUCAUCCAAAACAAAAGAGAGUCUUAAGGACCUAAUAGCGCAAGGCUGAUAUAUAUUGCAUAGGGUUCUUUAAAUAAUAUUAUCCUUGGAAACGGUGCCGGUCAUAUUAAUGCAUCAAUGCUCAGACCAAUUUGACAUAUUAAAAACAUUUCUUGGAGUCCUCGAAGACCAACUGCAACUACAAGCGUGCGGGACUUGUUUAUUUUUGGAUCGUACUGUAUGAUUUAUAUAAUUUUUUUGCAUUAAAAAAUAUUUUCUUAGUAUUAGAUUCAAUAAAACUUCAUUCUUGUUUUGCACGUGAUGGCUUUCCUAAUUGUAGGUCUGUGAGUUUUCUAAUCGAUCUGUGGGCAGUGAGCUAGCCUCUUUUAUUUUAAAAAUAUAUAUUUGAUGUCCUCUAAGAUUUUAUAACUUAUUGUUACAAAAUAUUGAUAUAAUUGUUAAUUGAUAAUCAAUCAUUUUAGUCCCAAAAACAUAUUUCAUCAUCAGUUUUUUAAAGAUGGUUUAUCUGUUAUUUUAAUUCUACCAUUAAAAAGCUUUAGUUUAAAUUAAUGUUUAUGCUUACAAGACAUGUUACUUACUUAUAUGGCAAAUGAUAAUGUACAUGUAUAUAAUAUGUUACAUGAAUGACAAGAUUGACGUGUUCAAUUUAAACUUAUUUAAAGAAAAAACUAAAAAUUUCUAAAAAUAUUUGAAAAUUGAAUCAAUCCGAUAUUUUUUGAAUUUGUAUACGAAUAAUAUUAUGAUCAAUUGGUCCAUUUCAAUUUCUGGUUUAUGUCUUUGGAAUCUAUCCAAAUCGAUUUGAAUUGCAUAUGAUUGUAAAGUUAUGCCAUUUAAUUUGUUUUUAUUUUUAAUUAAUCACUCUAUACAAUACUCAAGUAUGCAUUUUAGUACUGUUAUGCCCUUUUAUGAUUUUAUUUUUUCAAUAAAAGAAAACUGAAGUAAUGAAAUGUAUACGAAACUAAGCAAUUUCUUUCAGAAUUGUAGUUUGUUGUUAAUAAUAAAUAUGUUUUUUAUUCUUACAUGCUCAAACAGGCUUUGUUAACCUUAUUUGUUGAAUUAUGCGUUAUGCGAAAAUAAUUAAACAUAUUAUGAAUGAACCUUGUGGAGUCGACUCUUUAAAGCUUCCACUCUUUUGAUAAAUAGUAGGUACUAUUAAUUAGACAAGUUCUUCUAUAAGAUAUUAAUAAUAUAAUUGUUGUCAUGUAUUUUUUUUUUCUUUUAUAAGAUAUUAAUAAUAUAAUUAUUGUGUAAAUGUCAAAUUCAAGCCUUGGAUUAUGACUCAAUUAAUUACUAGCAGGUUUUACAAUAUUGCGUCAAUUACAAAAACCAAAAUAAAUGUAAUAAAUUGAUAUAAUGAUAGCAUAAAUAAAAAUAUUGAUAAUUGAAGUAUAUCAAUAAACAAAAAUAAUAGUGAAAUAUUUAUUGACAGAAAUGAAAGUGUCAUAGUCUAAAUCUAACACAUGUAUAUAUGAAAUAAUAUUAUAUAAAUUUUAAACUUUUUAGUGUUGUAACUUUUUCUAGAUUAGACAAUUAAACCGUAUAGGUGAUUGGUUAGAUGGUAUAUCUCUAAUAUUUCAAGUAAGGUUUCUGACUCUUCUAAAAAAAAGAAGAAGGUUUCUGACUUCAAUUUUUGUGUUUGAAAAUAAUUUUCAUAAAGAGAGAUAAUCUCUUUAUAUUGUAUGGAUAUAAAUUUUUGACACAAACAAAAUUGUUUUAAAAUUAUAAUUAACCUCUAUUAAUUUAAUCCUUCAAUUAAUGCAAUUGAUCAUGACGUUAAGUUAUUCUUUUAAAAUUUUUGUGAUAUUAAACAAAUCCUUUGAGUGUAAACAGACACAAGAAAAAUUAACAAGAUUAAACUAAUCAAUAACUUUAUGGAUAACAUCAAUAUAUGAUAUAAUAAAAAACACCAAUAAUGUGUUCAAAUAUAUACAUCAUGUUCCAUAUGUUUUUAGCAGCCAUAUAUUAUAAUAAUCAACCUUGGCUGCAACUUGAGGUAAAAGCAUGUUCAAAGUUACAUCUCUUAAUUUCCAUCUAUAAAUAAACCUACUUUGCAUCGUUACAACUCACAAAUCACAAUACAAAGCGUCUCUUACGUACUUGCCAAAGAGGAACAAAAGUGUUUGAGUGUUGAUAGCAUCAUCAAGAAGAAGUUGUAAAGAUGUUAGGGCUAUUUGACAAGAGCCACAAGAUCAAGGGCACUGUGGUGUUGAUGCCCAAAAGUGUCUUGGACAUUAACGACUUGAAUUCAGUCAAAAAUGGCGGAGUUGGUGGCGUUGUCUCUGGUAUCUUUGGCGCCGUCGCCGACGUAACCGGCCAAAUAGUUGAUACUGCAACUGCCAUCUUUUCCCGGAACGUCUCCUUCAAGUUGAUCAGUGCUACCUCCACUGAUGGUUUGUUUCUUAUCUCUUCCCAUUGUUUCUCUCUGCCAUGCUUAGUUGCUUACACUUUUUUUUUUUUAAGAUAUUUCUAACCCAUCACUACUCUUAAAAUAUAAAUUAAAGAAUUAAGAAGUCAAAUCAAACAUGUUUUUAGAAUUCUAAUAUUUUAAAAAUGAAAAUAGCUUUUAAAAAAUAAAAAUAAAAAAUAAAAACAGAAAAUGAAAAUGUCAUCAUCCGGUUAGAAAGUAAGCGCAUUAAAUUUCAAUGAGAUUAUUUACUUUUAUAUUUUGUUAAAAUUCAUAAAAAUUAAUUAUAGUAAUUUUUUACUAUACAUUAAACUUUCUUUUCCGUAAAUUUUUCACUAUUUUAAAAAGUUAUAAUUUUUAAAUUUAAUUUGAUCAUUUUAUCCUAAAUAUAAAUUGUUUGUUUCUACUCAUUUAUUUGAGUUACAUAUCUUUUUAUAAGUUUAAAUUGAGUUUAAUUUCCAUUCAUUAUCAAUGUAAAUAUUUUUUCUUGUUGAAAAUUUAUUUAGAUAUAACUUUUAAAAUGAUUAUUAUUAAAUUUAAUAGAAUUUUCAUGAUUGGAUAAUAAUAUGAAAGAAUUUAUAUUCUUCAAUUCAUUUUUUUGUCUUUUAUUUAAAUUUAAAAAUAUUCAUAGAUAUUUGUCAAUUCUAUGCAUAUAUACAAGUUUCCCAUGUAACGUUUUUUUUUUCUUUUCAUGAUCAGGACAGCUUUCUGUCAAUAGUUUAUAAAUUAUGUAUAAAAUUAUUUAUGCAUGUAUCACUUUUUAAAUAUUAUUGUUUGCUCAAAGACACUCAUCUUUUUUCAUUUUCUUUUUGGUUUUAUUUGUAUGUUUUUCUGUAGCAAAGGGAAAUGGGAAAGUUGGAAACGAAACCUUUUUGGAGAAGCAUCUUCCGACGCUACCAACCUUGGGAGAUAGAAGGGAUGCAUACGAUAUUCAUUUCGAAUGGGAUGCUAACUUUGGAAUUCCAGGAGCAUUUUACAUCAGAAACUACACCUAUGAUGAGUUCUUCCUUGUCAGUGUCACUCUUGAGGACAUUCCAAAUCAUGGAACCAUUCACUUCGUCUGUAACUCAUGGGUUUACAACUUUAAAGACUACGACAAAAAGGAUCGUAUUUUCUUUGCCAAUAAGGUAAGUGUAGCUCCAUUAUUUAUUUAUAUAUGUAGUCUUAAUCAUUUUUUAAAUGAGAAAAUUAUUUCAUGAAAUUAAAUGUAUUGUAGACAUAUCUUCCAAGUGCAACACCGGGUCCAUUAGUUAAGUAUAGAGAAGAAGAGUUGAAGAUUUUAAGAGGAGAUGGAACGGGAGAGCGCAAGGAACAUGAAAGGAUCUAUGAUUAUGAUGUCUACAAUGAUUUGGGUAAUCCAGAUGAAGAUGUAAAGCUUGCUCGUCCAGUUCUUGGAGGCUCCAGCACCUAUCCUUAUCCUCGUAGGGUUAGAACUGGUAGAAAAGCCACCAAGAAAGGUUAGACUUUGUCUUUUCUUUUAUCAUGUUGUGAUUACUUAAUUUAAUAAGGAAAUUGAUACAGGGGACCAAGUUGUUGGUCGAAAUCUUUUGAAUAAAACAAAUAAUAUUACAAUGUGGUUGGUAAGAAGAGAAAGAGAAGAAAUAUAUUUUAAUGGGGGAAAAGAAUAAGAAGGAGAGGUCUCAUUGUUUAUAGUUUAGUCAAGAGAAAGAAGAGACAUUGGUAUAAUUUGAACAAGAGAAAUAUAUGGUAUACCUUAUUCGGUUUAUAAAGAAAAAUAAGAGAAAAAUCACCUUAUUUGAUUUGUAAAGGAGAAAAAAAUAAUAUAGUUUUUAUAUUUUUAUAAACUAUAAUAAAAUAAUGAAAAGAUGAAUAAAAUUUUAAGAAACUUUCGUCUUCACAAUUUAAAAUUUAAUUAUAAUCACUUUUCUUCUUUUUCAAAAUUUCUUAAUAUUUGAGGAUUUAAAUCGUAAAGGAAAUUAAAAAGAAAAGUCAUGUAUUAUUAUUUGUGUGAUUUUGUGAUAUAGACUUGACAAAAAGUAACUUUUUUUGUGUGGUUUAUUUUUUGGGUACGCAAUUUGACAUGUUCUUCUGAAUUUUUUUGCUGAUAUUUCUGCUAAUAUUAUGAACUAUUCGAUUCUUAACAGAUCCUAAAAGCGAGAGACCAGCAAGCGAGCUUUACAUGCCAAGAGAUGAAAAAUUCGGUCACUUGAAGUCAUCAGAUUUCCUCACAUAUGGAAUAAAAUCAUUAUCUCAAAAGCUCUUACCUUCGCUCGAAAACGUUUUUGAUUCAGACCUCACAUGGAAUGAGUUUGAUAGCUUUGAAGAAGUAAGAGACCUGUAUGAAGGUGGAAUUAAGGUUCCAACAGGUGUUCUUAGCGACAUUAGCCCCAUACCAAUCUUCAAGGAAAUCUUUCGCACUGAUGGUGAAAGUGUCCUUCAAUUUCCACCACCUCAUGUAGUCCAAGGUACCUUAAUUAGAAUUUAAUACUCACGCACUAGUUAAUUAACAGCUUAAAGCAAAUUUUAUAUUAUCAAUUAAUUAAAAAUCACUUUUAAUAUAAUUUUUAAAAUAAUUAUUAAUAAAGUCAACAAAUUAAAACUCAUCAUACAUAUUGAUUUGUGAUCAUAUAAAAUUAUUAUACUAUCAAUGUUAACCUAUUUCUUUCAAAAUAAUUAAUCUCAUUUGAUAAUUAAUUAUUUUCUUUUAUGGUUUGAGCAGUUACUAAAUCUGCAUGGAUGACCGAUGACGAAUUUGCAAGAGAGAUGAUUGCAGGUGUAAACCCAAAUGUAAUUCGUCUUCUUAAAGUAAGUCCAAAAUCCAAAUAUUUUAUUGUUAAUUAAUCAGUGAAUAAUGCUAAAGUGUUUAUAAUAUAUUGCCCCCUAUCUGACUAUUGGACAUUUUUUCUCAUUUUUAAUACUGGCAGGAGUUCCCCCCACAAAGCAAGCUGGAUCCCUCUCUCUAUGGUGAUCAAUCUAGUACAAUAACAAAAGAACAUUUGGAGAUUAACAUGGAUGGGGUAACAGUAGAAGAGGUAAUGAUAUACAUGCGUGCUAGCUCCACUAUAAAAUGCAUAUUAACUUUUUAUUAGCCAUAAUGAUUUUUUCUAUAUUCCCUACAACAACUUAUUCUUUUGAGGAAAAUAUAAAUUUCGACAUGACUGGAAACAUAUGGGGUACAUCAUAUAUAGCUGAUGCAACUACACGGAUCACAUGAAUUAAUAUACUAAACAGAAAAAAUUAAGCAAGGGUUGAAUGAAAAAAAGUGUUAAAUACAUUAAAUAUGUUAGAGAUGAUAAUAUAAUAUUGAAGUGAUAUUGUUUGUGAUUCAAAUUAAGCUAUGAAACAAAGUGAUCACUGAAUUUAAUUUUUUGGAACAGGCACUUAAUGGUCAGAGAUUAUUCAUAUUAGAUUAUCAAGACGCAUUCAUGCCAUAUUUGACAAGGAUAAACGCACUACCUUCUGCAAAGGCUUAUGCCACAAGGACAAUCCUGCUCUUGAAAGAUGAUGGGACUUUGAAGCCACUUGCUAUCGAAUUGAGCAAGCCACAUCCAAGUGGAGAUAAUUUGGGUGCCGAGAGCAAAGUGGUCUUGCCUGCAGACCAAGGUGUUGAAAGCACAAUUUGGCUAUUGGCCAAGGCUCAUGUUAUUGUAAAUGACUCGGGCUAUCAUCAACUCAUGAGCCACUGGUAUGAACUUUAUUUGCUAGCCAGCAACAUUUGUAAACAUGCUUACUAUUAUUAAUUACUAUUUUUAAAUGCUUGAGCUUAAUAAUUAUAUCUGUACUGUAAAUGUAAAUUUUCUAUCAAUAAAGAAUAAUCAAUAUUAUAUCACCUUUAAAGUAGUUAUUAUAAUACUGAACAAACUUACAUAUGUGAAGGUUUAUGAUUCAAUCUGUUGAGCAAAAGUUUAAUACUAUAAGUGUAUACAUUGUUUAUUCUAAUUGUUUUUUUAUACUUGGGGUUACAGGUUAAAUACUCAUGCAGUGACAGAGCCCUUCAUCAUAGCAACAAACAGGCGUCUCAGUGUGCUUCACCCCAUUUAUAAACUUCUUUAUCCUCACUAUCGUGACACCAUAAAUAUCAAUGGACUUGCUAGGAAUGCCCUAAUUAAUGCUGGUGGCGUUAUAGAGGAAUCAUUUUUGCCUGGACGGUAUUCUAUCGAGAUGUCUUCAGCUGUUUACAAGAAUUGGGUUUUCACUGACCAAGCAUUACCGGUCGAUCUCAUCAAGAGGUAAUCUUACUGAAUAUAAAAUUACUAUAAGAAAAAGAUAAAAAUAAUGUAUGCCCUUAUAAUUCAUCAAAUCAUAAAUUUUUAUUAUCUUAAAAGUUAUGUCUAUUAUAAUUUUUUAUUGGUUGACAGUGUAAAAUAAAUGUUGAAAGAAAAGUAAAUAUAGGAUUUUAAGUUAAAAGCAUUUAAGAUUUGAAAUGUAAUGUGGCUUAUAAUAGAAGCAUGAACUUGUUCAAUCGUGGGACUAAAAAAAUAGAAAUAUACCAUUCUAAUGAAGGCAUAAAUUGAGAGAGGCUAGCUUGUUGAAUUUGUCAAUAACAUUUUAUUUUGUGCUUUAUUCAGAGGAAUGGCAGUUGAGGAUCCAUCCUCUCCCCAUGGCCUUCGUCUUGCGGUAGAGGACUACCCAUAUGCUGUUGAUGGACUAGAAAUAUGGGAUGCUAUUAAGUCAUGGGUCCAAGAGUAUGUUUCCUUGUAUUACCCAACAGAUUUGGCAAUUCAACAAGAUACUGAACUCCAAGCAUGGUGGAAGGAAGUUGUUGAGAAGGGUCAUGGUGACUUAAAAGACAAGCCUUGGUGGCCUAAAAUGCAGACUCGUCAAGAGCUUAUUCAAUCAUGUUCUACUAUCAUAUGGAUUGCUUCAGCUCUCCAUGCAGCUGUUAAUUUUGGACAAUACCCUUAUGGUGGUUUUAUCCUAAACCGUCCAACU